rnacentral:rRNA from 1 species
GUGCCAGCAGCCGCGGUAAGACGAACCGUGCGAACGUUGUUCGGAUUCACUGGGCUUAAAGGGCGCGUAGGCGGUGCGACAAGUCGGGGGUGAAAUCUUUCGGCCCAACCGGAAAAGGGCCCCCGAUACUGGCGCGCUGGAGGGAGGUAGGGGCAUGUGGAACUCCAGGUGGAGCGGUGAAAUGCGUAGAUAUCUGGAGGAACGCCGGUGGCGAAAGCGACGUGCUGGACCUUCUCUGACGCUGAGGCGCGAAAGCUAGGGGAGCAAACGGGAUUAGAUACCCCCGUAGUCC